AUUGAACGCUGGCGGCAGGCCUAACACAUGCAAGUCGAGCGGAUGAGAGGAGCUUGCUCCUUGAUUCAGCGGCGGACGGGUGGGUAAUGCCUAGGAAUCUGCCUGGUAGUGGGGGACAACGUUUCGAAAGGAACGCUAAUACCGCAUACGUCCUACGGGAGAAAGCAGGGGACCUUCGGGCCUUGCGCUAUCAGAUGAGCCUAGGUCGGAUUAGCUAGUAGGUGGGGUAAUGGCCCACCUAGGCGACGAUCCGGAACUGGUCUGAGAGGAUGAUCAGUCACACUGGAACUGAGACACGGUCCAGACUCCUACGGGAGGCAGCAGUGGGGAAUAUUGGACAAUGGGCGAAAGCCUGAUCCAGCCAUGCCGCGUGUGUGAAGAAGGUCUUCGGAUUGUAAAGCACUUUAAGUUGGGAGGAAGGGCAGUUAGUUAAUACCUGACUGUUUUGACGUUACCGACAGAAUAAGCACCGGCUAACUUCGUGCCAGCCGCCGCGGUAAUAC
rnacentral:rRNA from 1 species